AGCAAGAUGAAAAAAUUAGAGUCCUUGGUGUUGUGCAGAUGAAUUCUGGUCCCAGCAUUAGUCCAUAAUAUGUACCUUGGGCAAAUUAACAACUCUGAGACUCAGUUUUCUCAUCUUUAAAAUGGGGAUACUCUAUCUACCUCUUAAAGUUAUUGUGAGGACUGAAUGAGUUAAUACUUGGAGAGGACUCAGAGCAGGGCAUAGUUAAGGACUCAGUAAGAGCUAACUUUACUAACAUCACUACCAUCACAAAGAAUAAGUGAGAAAACGUACCUUGAGGAUCUUGCAUAGUACCUGGCAUAAAAUAGGCUCUUAAGAGAUGAAAGCCAAUUAGUACUAGUAAUUAGAGUUUAAAAUGAUAAGAUUUUAAGGCAUGUAGAAAACAAGAAUAUCUUGUGUUUCUGGCAACCAAAGUUAUUCUAUUCCAGGCCAUGGGGAUCUCCUAUUUCUCCAGAAAUAUGGAGGCUACAAGAGAGAACUAACAUUUAUUGGGCACUUACAUUGUACUAGUUACUGUGCUAGGGGCUUUAAACACAGUUUUUCCAUUUAAGCAAAUAAUCCUAAUAUUUUAGAUAAUUUACCUGAAACCCACCGAGAUGACGUAUUUCUCCAAUGGUCACAUUAGCUAAUGACGGUAGGACUAAGAUUUCAACCCAGAUAUGUUUGGACUCUAUAGCCUGUGUGCUUUCCACUUUUCAGAAACUAUCUUAUAAACAAAACAGAGCAAAAACUUUCUGGGACUCUCUGGAGCCCUUGGCUGUUCUCUGGACCUUCCUUCGCUGUGUCUGGGGGCAGGCACAUCUUGGCUUAGGCUGAGCUUUUCUAUUUGCCAAAAGGGUCAUCUCAGAGGGCACAGCCUGGAGUGCAGCUCAACAAACAUAUGUGUGACAGCCGAGUGCCACCACGUUAAGAACUGGACUUACAAGAUGGAUAGGACCUGGUGGCAGCUGUCCUUGAGGAAGCCAGAGCCUGGAGAGACAGAUCUCAUGUUAUAGCAGAGUACCAAUAUUCUGCAGAAAACCAAAACCUCACCUGCAUUCCUACUCCUAUCGUGAUGUUCUGCCCCCCGGGACCCUUGUUUAUGCUGGUCUCUCCUUUUGAAAGAACGUUACCCUUUUCUUCACCCAGCGAAUUCUUACUCAGACUUCAAGACUCAGUUCAGAGUCUGGGGAUGAAUAUUCUACAAAUGGCCCCCAGGAUUGUCAUGGUCCUCACGGCAGGUGAUUUGCUCUUGAACAAUUAACAGAGUGAAGGCUGUGUUCCAUCUCCUCACAGUCUCCCGCUGGGCAUCCUUGGGAGCACAGGAGGAGAAAGGCUUUCUUCUUGAUCCUAUUACUGCUGCCCAGCAUCAAGAAGGAUUAAUUAACCCACCAGGUUUUGCUUCAUUACGAGGAAAAAAGAAAAGCCAGUGACAGUGGAAUUCAAACAUUGAACAGGCAAAGGAAUCAGUGCUCAAGCACCUUAUGAACAUUUCGAAGACUUAGCUGGGCAGUGUGGUGCAAUGUAAAGUGGGGUGACUUGGUGCAGAUUACACACCCCUGCAGCCCUGUUUCUUCAUCCUCAGAGUUCACACUUCAAUUCUACAAAUUGAUGGCCUACUCUGAGCUAAGCCCCGCCCACUCUGAACUAAGCCCCGCCUACUUUGAUUCCCUACUCUGAGCUAAGGAACAGUCUUUCAUCCCCAUGAAAGCUUUCUGUCUAGAAGGAACUAAAGAGCAUAAUUAUACUUAUUUUCCAGUGCUGUUGUUAGAAUUAAUUAAAUGUGGUAUAGCAUGUGAACGUACUCUGUAACUAAACAUUGUAUAAAUGUUAAUUAUUCUCAUUUUCAUAUUUGAUAUUCAGGCAUUCAAACAAUUAUUGAGCACUUAUUAGGGCAAAGAACUAUACUUGCAGCUAACAGUUACGUGAAAGAAUUCGAAGACAUUGUUUUUGCUGUUUAGGAAGGUCCCACGUGGCAAAGCAAUUAAGACACACACAUGAAAUAAUUAAACAACAAAGUUGGGCCUAAAGAAGUUUCAUCUCACAUGCUAAUCAUGGCUAGUUGGCUAUGGCUAUCUAGAGUAUUAUGCUGAAAAUGAUUCUGAAGCUCUUUCUGGGCUCAAUUGAAAAGGAUGUUCUGGUGGAUUAGCAAUGAAUGCCAUGGGCAUAAGUUGGGCAUGUAGUGGUACCUGGACUAGUUGUUUAUAGUGCCUAAUACAAGGUAGCAAACAUAACGAUAAAAGUAACUGUUAUUGAAAUUCAGCCAAAAUUGGUAUCAGUGUAGGCUUGUAUGACUGGCAAAGAAUGUAGAGGAGCUAAAGAUUAAGCUUGACCUUGAAUUACGAGUAGGACUUCAGUGAAGAUAGGAGGCUAUUUCAGAAUGCAGGGCAUCUGGUAGU